rnacentral:tRNA from 1 species
GGGGUUGUGGCUCAGUGGUAGAGCACUCACCUAGCAUGUGUGAAGCCCUUGGUUUGAUCCUCAGCACCACA